ACCGGAUGGUCCAGUCCAUCAGCAGCAUUUUUCCAGCAGGAUUACGUUGGGGCCCGGGAAAACGUAGCCCUUACCGCAAAACUGCUGCCGAUGAGUAAAGUUUUACGGCAGAAGAUUCCCGUUCCAGAUACUACCGGGCUUCCCUGGGGACUCGCUGUCGCUCCAGUUCCGAUAGCACUCACCGGAUUGAUAGUUCAGCAGCGAUCCAGCCAACCUUCAUCGGGAGCCAACACCGC